UUUUCUCCAUGCAGUUACCACUUUCCAUACUACUCCUCUCCUAACGUAGAUUUCUUUCUUUCUGUUAGACUAUAAUCCCCACCUCGUUCCUCUGCACGCCUCCGCAGCCUCCCUCCCUCCCCCCACGUCCCACCUCGCCGGCGUACCUUGGACGGCGCGCUGGGGAUUGCCCCUGUUGCCCAGGGUCAAGUUUCCCCGGCAUCUGAGCCGCGCUUGGAUGGAGGAGUGAGGGACGCCGACCGCCGGUCAUCCUUCUCAAUUCCACCAUGGCGGAUCCGGUGGGAUUCCAAGUGACCUCUACGGCCGGCCUCUGUCGAGGUGUUGAGCGGCCAACUGGUGAUCCGAUCUGACUGACUGACGGGAGAUGAGGCAAACUGGUGAGUCGAUCUGACUGACUGACGGCAGGUCCGGUCCGUCGCCGCCCGGCGACGGUGACUGUUCACCGCAGAUUCCAGGCCGGCAAUAUAAUUCUUGCAGAUCUACCAGAGGAGCAUCCGCUAUUGCUUUGACCACGACGGAUCUGAAGGUACCGGUGGGUACUCAGAUCUGCAAGGAUAUACAGCCGCGCAGGUCUCCACUGCCAGAGUCAUGGCAAGUCGCAGAACCAUGCUUACCGGUGAUGGGAUUCAUCGCGGUAAUUUUGCGCUAACGCCGUGGAUGCGGUGGCACGGUGGGUCGAUAUAGUCCUCGGACCGAGAAGGUUGUAUCUAGCUUUCUCGUCUACUCAUCCCAGCAGAGCUCACUAGCCCGCGACACAGCUACUGUUUGAUCUCCCGUGGCAGAGGCCUAGAUCUGUUCGAUUUGCUGAGGUCUGCGGUGCACUUGGCUGAAGAUAAGUGAUGCAGCUUUGGAUAUUCAGCCAUGGCUGAUGACAAGUGAUGCAGCUCGGACACUCAGAUCAGAUGCGUGACACAGGAUGUCGACUCGGCUCGCAAGAUAUUGGUUUGGAGCAGGCCAGUUAGGUGCAACGGUUGCCCAGUCUUGGAGAUCAAUAUUUCACUUGAACGUUGGUAAAAUAGCACAAGUGAGAUAUGUGGUUUUGAGGAUUGUUUGACAAGAUGAUGGUUUAUUUUUAUUUUUGUUCCUCAGGUAACUAAUAACUAACCGCGUUAUUUUGCGGCUAUUUUAGAAUUAUUAUUCAAAUGUUUAUCAUUGAAAAUUUAGUUGUGUUUGUAUUAGAUGUCUAAGAUUGUAGAUCGUGAUGUACGAUUGCCAUGUUUAUCACUCAAAAUUUUAUUAUAUGUUUUUUCACAAGACAACGGAUUGUGCAUCUUGUGUUUCUAUUAUUGAAAAAUUAGUUGCGAUGAUUAGUAUACUACUCCCUCCGUCCCAUAAUAUAAGAGCGUUUUUUACACUAGUGAGCGUUUUUGACACUAGUGUUCACUAGUGUCAAAAACGCUCAUAUAUUAUGGACGGAGGGAGUAAUAAUUUAGCCUUUUCUCAUUUUGUUAUUUGUUUAACGAACUUUUUCCUACUUCAAACAACCUAGUUCAGCAAUUGCAAACUGAGCCUUAGUAUGCAUAGUUGCAAAAAAUGAUGGCAUGUGCAUAUUAAGCGUUAUUCAAGUAACUGGCAAAAUGAUGUACAUUAGAUAUGCUGUACACUACAUGUCAUGAUUAUCCAAUUAGGGAAAAAUAAGUUUUUGUUAUUAGUACUGAACAUGUCUUGUGAUUCUACGUGGCAUGAAAAUAAGUUUGAUAUCAUUGUGUGAUUCUAGUGUUUAUAUCAUUACAAAAUCGUACAUAUUGUCUGGCAAGAUGAUGGCUUGUACAUUGUUGAUGCAUUUUUCAAGCAACGAGUAGAAUUAACCACAUAAUUUUGUUGUUGUAAAACAUCAUUAAAAAAGCUAUAAUGUUGACUAUUGAAAUUUUGAGGGUAUCUAUGGUUCACACGUUUCUAAUAUGUAGGAAUAGGUAAAACACAUGAAUAUGUAGGAAUAUGGUUUUAUCGCCGACGGUCCCGUCAGUAAUAACUCGGCGUCAGUUUUGACCGGUCAAUGGUGCUGACAUAUGGGCCCAGAAGAUGUACCUGCACACAACAUGCUCGAGGAAAUGCCACAAAGAGAACCGUUGGGUCCCACGUUCAAAACCGUUCUUGUUGACUUUUAGUGCCACAUGGAUCUCACUAGCGGGCCCCUCGUGCCAGAAACCGGUUUAGAUCAGCCGUAAUCAGUCUACCCAGAAACUGGUAGAUUUUCGUAGCCGUGAGUAAAGUGGUUGCUAAAUAGAACCCAUGACUCGAAUUUGGUAGUUUUUUGCACUUCACUCCCAGAAAAGGAAUGGCAAAACUUGUGGUAAAAAAAUUUCAGGAAGUGUUUGACUUCUGUUACCCCCUUCCAAAAAUUUCUCUCCGUUUCCUCACAUAAUGAGUCCCUAUGUUCAACAAGUGUUUGACUUUGGUUACCUCCUUCCACGAUUGUGAAGCUUUAAUGCUAGUUGUACCACAUCUAAAGAUAUCCCUCCCUUGCUGAAUUUUCCAAACCCAUUUUAGAACCAACGCGAUAUUCACGAUUUUGAUAUUUAAAAUCAUAGGAUCCCCAUAUUCUUUAGGAGUACAUACCCUCUCCGACUCAACCAUGUGGUAUUUAAAAAUCUCUCCAGGUCUGUUUGAUAAACCUCAACUUAACAAUGUUCAUCUUGGCGUGCACCCGAUCCCGUAACAGUCGCACCUACAUGGACAAGUACAUCUAUAUGGGAGAGGCUAACAAACAAGAGUUGGUCAAAAUAAGCCUACCCCAGAAGAAAGAAAUUUAGCAGCUCCCCAUUGAUAAUGAUGGCUGUUUUGCUGCCAACUAAAAACUGCAUCCCAUUAGUCUCCAGAAGAGCUAUCUAACCAUCUCCAUUGUUUCAAUGAUUAUUAUAGGGCAAAGGGGCAGAAAUACAGUAUGAAAUUAAAACCUAGCUAAAUCUCAUUUUUUAUGCAAAAAAUCAAGAAGAUUUGGGAUAAUUUUUUAGUGUAGAACAUGUCUAGAUCCUGCAAGAAAUUAAACUGUUCCAACAUAUCAUGACAGACACACGUAAAAUGUCCCCACGUUUGACUAUCAAUCAGCUCCCACAAAUGCACGUUGCUACAAUCUAAUACAGAAUUCUACAUAAGCCAAAUUUGAUUUUACGAGAGCAUUACAAUCUGCACUUAUAUAGUUACAACCAGCAACAGUCAUAGUUGACGGUGGUAGGUGCAUUAAGAAAACUGAAUUAGAUAAGACCACUUCAUUGAGAAGUUUGACUGUGAUGCAACAUGCAAUCAUUUAAUUUAAUCAGUAGUGCUCCAAGGUAUUCUAGAAGUCAGAUGCAGCUUCAAGACAGUAAUAUCUGCCUCUUCUUAUCGUCAACCACAAGAAAGGGUACAAACAGGAAACAAACAAAAAAUUGACUAUUAAAAUUACCAGUUCAGGAGGUAAAAUCAAUCAAUUCUUCAGUUCAAGAAUAGCGGUAUGGGGCAUUGCAAUCUGCGCUCAUAUCCUAGUUACAACCAGCAACACAGACACUCAGAGUUCACGGUGGUAGUUGCAAUAGAUAAGUGCAUGAAAAAAACUGAAUUACAGCAUAACACUUCAUUGAGAAAUUAACUAUGAUGCAACAUACAAGCAUUUAAUUUAAUCAGUAGGGCCCCCAAGGCAUUCUAGAAGUCAGGUACAGCUUCAAGUUAGCUAAGGGUAAAAUCUACCUUUUCUCAUUGUCAGCUAGAACAAAGGGUACAAACAGGAAUCACCCUAAAAGUUUACUAUUAAGAAGACCACUUGAUCAGGAUAUAAAAUCAGUCAAUUCUUCAUUUCAAGAAUUAAUGAUAUAAGGCAUAAAGCAUGUUUAAUGGGCAAAAGGCCAGAAAUGUGACAUUAAACCUAGCCUAAAUCUCAUUCUUUAUGCAAGAAAUCAAGAAGAUUUAGGAUAAUUUGUUAGUGUAAAAUAUGUCUAGAUCCUGCAAGAAAGAAAACCGUUCCAACAUAUCAUGACAGACAUGUAAAAUGGCCCCACAUUUGACCAUCAAUCAGCUCCAACAAAUGCAUGUUGCUACAAUCUAAUAGAGAAUCCUACAAUUAUACGAGAGCGUCACAAUCUACACCAUAUCCUAGUUACAACCAGCAACAGUCAUAGUUGACGGUGUAGGUGCAGUAAGAAAACUGAAUUAGUCAAGACCACUUCAUUGAGAAGUUGGCUGAUGCAAUAUGCAAGGGUUUAAUUUAAUCAGUAGUGCUCCAAGGUGUUCUAGAAGUAAAGGUACUGCUUCAACUCAUCAAAGAGUAAAUUUGCCCGUUCUCAUCGUCAGCCGCAAAAAGGGUACAAGCAGGAAUCAGACAAAAAGAUGACAGCUCAAAAUCAACUUUUAGAAUCACCCUCUUUUUACUAUGAUCCUCGUGAUUGUCUCAAUAGAUCGAUUCCACAAAGCAUAAUAUGCAGUACGUAGUAGCUAGAUAGUAAGGUUCAGAAGAGUAUAUAACAGUUUACAAUAUAUAUUUAUGCCCCUAGACUUUUUUUGUUCAGUUCUCUUCCAUGCCCAUUCCAUGCCUUAGUCCUCUUGUUUCUUCAGUUCUUCUCUCCCAUUCGAGUCCUCCUAUCAACAGAGAAAGUUAGCAUUUGGUUUUUCUUUGCAUGGCAGAUGCAGUAAGAUGAAUGGCAGAUGGCAAAAUGCAGAGUCAUAAUUUGUAGCAAUUAAAUACUGAAUGACAGAUGGCAGAAAUUAUGAAUUGGUUGCAGAGGCAGUAAGGUGAAUGGCAGAUGGCAGACAUUCAGGGGCAAUUCAACAGUGCACAGCAAGCCUAAUACAAUUUACUUCAGAGAGGUAUGUAAGCACCCUUUAUUCACCUCAGAGCUCUCUGAUUCAAAUGUUCUGAGUGAGUGCUUGCAGGAAAUAACUUCCAAGAUCUUACGGAUGAGGGCAACGGCUACAGCAUGUAAAGGGGUACAGACUGUUUUGAUAAAUAAAAUAUAUAUUACCACCUCCCAGAGGAAAUAUUGCUCUGCUGCAUGCUUGUAAAGUGUAAUUGGCAACUCGAGUUCUAUUCAAUGCAAGUUUUGUCUACAGAUCUGUCUAGAUGUUACUACUAAUUUGCUCAUCUGAUGCCUGACGAAUUGACCAAUUGCUGUAUAAUGCUAAGUCGCGAGUUCCGAAUUCUAUAAUCACAACUGCCAAAGUAGUGAUAGUCGCCGGUUAUGAAUUCUAUAAUCAGAUCUACAGCACUGGGAGUUGACAGUUUGAUUUCUAUAUUCAGAUGUCGGGAUAUUAUGACUACUAGCAUGCAGGCCUGUCAGAUCUGAGCAGUCCCGUCAAAUCCAGCAGAACUGGUUGCAGCGAGAGUACGAUCUGCUGCGCCCGGUACGAAAUUAUAUAAUCAAGUCUCGCAGUGCCCGUCAAAAAGCUCCGAUCUCGCACCGGCCGUCAAAAAACAAUCAGAUCUCGCACAGUAGGGAAGAGCGGCGGUCGGAGUUAUGAAUACCUUGCCUGAUCUGUCAUCAGAUCAGGUUGCCGUGCUUGAUGCCGCGGGCCUUUGGCUUCUUGUGGUACCCGUCGCCAUCCGGACCCUUGCGCUUCCCGCCCUUGCACGCGGCGAGGUGGGUGGCCCAGUCAGCACUCGUCAGGGCGAGACUCCUCCCGCAUUUCCAGCACUUCAUGGGGAUCGUCGGCUCCUCGGCUCCUCGGGGGGAACGCC
rnacentral:lncRNA from 1 species